UAGCAAAUUAGUCUAAAAAAAUUUGUAAUAUGCUAAAGAUUAAUAAAGUCCUUGGCAAUUACCAAGGUUCUCAAAGCUAAUUCAUGAUCUAUUAAUCAUCAAGAGCAUUGUUCCAGAACCAAACGAAGAAACAUAUAUCAUAAUAUCAUGCCAGAAGUAAUCCCAGGAUAUCAUUAAGGAAAUAGCAGAAAUGAAUCAGUUGGAUUUUGAUUCUUUUAUACUACUUGUUACGAAUGGAAGUGGUUUCAGGUCGGAAGUGCUGGAGCAUGAAGAAGCCUGACGAGCCAACGAUGGCCGAACCUAUAAGAAAAAUCUCCAUUAGAGGUGGCUUCGGCAGGAACCAUUCAAUACUCAAGUCAGAUUUCUCAC
rnacentral:lncRNA from 1 species